UACGUAGGGUGCGAGCGUUAAUCGGAAUUACUGGGCGUAAAGUGUGCGCAGGCGGCCGAGCAAGUCGAGUGUGAAAGCCCCGAGCUUAACUUGGGAACUGCGCUCGAAACUACUUGGCCAGAGUGUGGCAGAGGGAGGUGGAAUUCCACGUGUAGCGGUGAAAUGCGUAGAGAUGUGGAGGAACACCGAUGGCGAAGGCAGCCUCCUGGGCCAACACUGACGCUCAUGCACGAAAGCGUGGGGAGCAAACAGG
rnacentral:rRNA from 1 species